rnacentral:rRNA from 1 species
GAUGAACGCUGGCGGCGUGCUUAACACAUGCAAGUCGAACGGAAAGGCCCAAGCUUGCUUGGGUACUCGAGUGGCGAACGGGUGAGUAACACGUGGGUGAUCUGCCCUGCACUUCGGGAUAAGCCUGGGAAACUGGGUCUAAUACCGGAUAGGACCACUUCUUGGAUGUUGUGGUGGAGAGUUUUUUCGGUGUGGGAUGAGCUCGCGGCCUAUCAGCGUGUUGGUGGGGUAAGGGCCUACCAAGGCGUCGACGGGUAGCCGGCCUGAGAGGGUGUACGGGCAAAUUGGGACUGGGAUACGGCCCAGACUCCUACGGGGGGCAGCAGGGGGGAAUAUUGCACAAUGGGCGCAAGCCUGAUGCAGCGACGCCGCGUGGGGGAUGACGGGCUUCGGGUUGUAAACUCCUUUCGCUAGGGACGAAGCGUUUUGUGACGGUACCGGGAGAAGAAGCACCGGCUAACUACGUG